rnacentral:rRNA from 1 species
CGCGUAGGCGGUGCGGUAAGUCACCUGUGAAACCUCCGGGCUCAACUCGGAGCCUGCAGGCGAAACUGCCGUGCUGGAGUGUGGGAGGGGUGCGUGGAAUUCCCGGUGUAGCAGUGAAAUGCGUAGAGAUCGGGAGGAACACCUGUGGCGAAAGCGGCGCACUGGACCACAACUGACGCUGAGGCGCGAAAGCUAGGGGAGCAAACAGGAUUAGAUACCCUGGUAGUCCUGGCCCUAAACGAUGGAUGCUUGGUGUAGCCGGUACCCAAUCCGGCUGUGCCGCAGCUAACGCGAUAAGCAUCCCGCCUGGGGAGUACGGUCGCAAGGCUGAA